AGGACUGCCCUUGUGGUGUGGAAACCUCAAUUUGAGGAAUUGGCCUUGUUUUCCAUUAACUUGUUUCUUUAACUGAUGGAAUACCAAAAUGCCAGCAGUACCCGAAGCAAUAUCUUCACAAAGCGAUACAAUGCUCUAGAGAGGAGAGAAGCUUGCAAGGGCGGUAAAGAAAUAAGCAAGAGAGCUGCCCAAUCACAAUCAACUGCUAAGGGUACAGCAGCCUUCCAAAGAGCUCAUUCCUCUCACAAUUCUAGAAGAAAUGAUGUACCACAUUUUGGGAAUCAGUUAGUAACAUGUCUUUACCUUUUAUAUUUCUUCCUAAGGAUGAAGUCCCAACUAAGCCAAGAUUGCCAUCAAGUCCAUGCCAAAAGCCUGAAAUCAGUAAUGCCACCACUGAUUCCAAUUAAAGAUGAGCGGGAGAAGCAAGAAAGCAUCAAUUGUUAUAUUAUUUAGCAUGAGAAGAAAAAGAAAACAAGGUGAUGAGCUCAUGGCCUAUAAAGUAUGCUGAAGCUCAUGGCCUGGAAGGUCUGAAGUGCAAUAGGCUUGAAAUUUAUGUUUGGGGCUGGCCUGACAAUCUUUAAGUACAUUUUUGGAUGUAUUUUGCUAUGGGAGUUUAUUGGAAAUACUCCUUUUGUGCAUACAAUAUAUUAGCAUUGUCAAAUCCAUUUAGGUACAUUUUUGUGGAUUAUAACAAUAUUAGAUAUAUAUUGAUAAAUGACUAUUUAUUUGGUAUUUUGAUUCCAGCAUUGAAUAUGAAUA